CCCGCGCCCGCGCGCGCGCUGCCCCAGCGCCCCGCCGCCGGGGGAGCCUGCGGGAGGGGCGCCCGCGGCCUCGGCGCCCCCUGGCUGCCCGGCGCCGCCCCUCCGCCCCCCUAGCGCCGGCCGGGGCGGAUUAGGAAGCCGCGGCACAGCCCCGGAGAGCGGGGCGCAGCGGCGGGGCCGAGGGUCAAGGUCACUCGGCGGGCGCGGGGAGGAUCCCAGGAGGCCCCGAGCGCCCAAGGCCGGCGCCUCCACUCGGGAGCUGAAGUCGGCGCGGCUGGUCGCUCCCGCCUGGCCCGGGUUAUCUCGCAGUGGCUUGGCCCAGCCUCUCAGUCACCUGCACUGUUGGCCCUGCGGUGGAUAACCUGAUGAUGGGCCCCUUGCCAAGUGGCUACUGGGCGCUGCCUAUAUUUCGUGCCCAGCUCUCAUGUCGCCGCCUCCAGGAAGGAGUCCCUGAUGUCAGGCUGGUGGGCUGCCUGUCUGGGCCCAGUGGCCCACCGCCCCCUGCCUCUGCUCAGUCAGGUCUUCAGAGAGCUGGAUAAAGAAGAAAAGAGAGAGAGGAACCACGCCAGACACGCUGCUCUUCCUGCCUGGCCCCUGAGUGGUUCCGCCCCGGGCCGGGCCAGCUGUGUAACUGCGGGACGAAAAUGGGGGCUCGUUGUUCAAAAAGCAGGAAAAACGUGUCCUUAAAGGGACGAAAGUAUAGAGCUUUCCCCUUUCUUCCGCUGUCUUUCUUGUCACUUAUCAUGGUGGUUUUUUAUUUGCUAUUUGCUGUUAAAUGUCAACCUAAGUAAAGGAAAAUGAAAAUUUAAUUUUGCCUUUUUAUUCUUUACGUGCAUUUAACUCACAUAUGGAAUCGCGGAGUUUACCGUUUAGGUCGCGCCUCGUGCGUGCACGUGCAUUUCACUCUCCAGAGGGGAAACACGCACAAAACGGACUCAACAGCCCUCACGUCCCUUUCGUGUUCACACAGCCAGCUCCCUCUGCCUCCGGCUCACUCCGGGGAGCGAGGAGUCAGAAAUGGAUGGACGGUGGGAAAGGAUGUGGUCCUCAGAACAGGUUCCGGUUUGAACAGCGGGUGGGGCCUCCCCAGCUGUCAGGGCCCCUCGAGGGGAUAAGCUCACAGGACAAGCCCACCUGGACUCGCCUGGCUUCCCACGGAGCCCCGCUCACAGCGGGUCCCCAGCAUCCCGACUCUGGGGCCGCCAGCGCAGGAUGCAAGCACGAGCCCUGAGCGCCGCCCCUGUUCCGCCGGAGCAGCUCGAGCAGCUCGUGCUCCAGUGGGGGGCCUGGGGGUGGGGUGGAGCUCUGUGGCCCGGAAAGCGAGGCUGCCCGAGAGAGCGCAGCUUGUCCGUCUGCCUGUUUGCACAUCAUUGGUGCCGCCUGCAGGGCUGGCUCUUUUGGGUGACCAAAGGGAAUCUGCUGGAACCCAAGGGGCCCAGCACAGGUCUGUCUGGGGCCCCCACCCCAAGGCAUCAAACCCGUGGCUCCCAGCAUGGUCCUCCUGGGUCGUGGGCCCAUUUGCUGCUGCCCCCUCCCCCAUCUCCAUGGCUCCUCCUUCUGCCCCCAAACCAGAGACCUGUCUCCCCACAGCUGUUGUGUGACCUUGGGCGGGCACCUCCCCUCUCUGAAUCUCAGAGGGCCGCAAUGCUGUGGGCUGCCCAACUUGCUUGCCAUCAGCCAGCCCCAGAAACAGUUGUCCUUCUCUCUCACCCACCUCUUUGCCACCCUUGGAGACACUUCAGGGACUUGUCGGUGUCCACGUCAUGCAGAUUUCACUGGCCCUGGGCCUGGGGCAGCCUGACCCUCUUCCCGGGGUGGGGGUGUCGAUCCCCCAGCAUGUUGUCUCCUCCACAGUCGGAGUUUCCGCUGACACAGCCGUGCUUCCUCG
rnacentral:lncRNA from 1 species